rnacentral:rRNA from 2 species
GGGUUGUGAGGUUAAGCGACUAAGCGUACACGGUGGAUGCCCUGGCAGUCAGAGGCGAUGAAGGACGUGCUAAUCUGCGAUAAGCGCCGGUAAGGUGAUAUGAACCGUUAUAACCGGCGAUUUCCGAAUGGGGAAACCCAGUGUGAUUCGUCACACUAUCAUUAACUGAAUCCAUAGGUUAAUGAGGCGAACCGGGGGAACUGAAACAUCUAAGUACCCCGAGGAAAAGAAAUCAACCGAGAUUCCCCCAGUAGCGGCGAGCGAACGGGGAGGAGCCCAGAGCCUGAAUCAGCAUGUGUGUUAGUGGAAGCGUCUGGAAAGGCGCGCGAUACAGGGUGACAGCCCCGUACACAAAAGCGCAUGUGCUGUGAGCUCGAUGAGUAGGGCGGGACACGUGGUAUCCUGUCUGAAUAUGGGGGGACCAUCCUCCAAGGCUAAAUACUCCUGACUGACCGAUAGUGAACCAGUACCGUGAGGGAAAGGCGAAAAGAACCCCGGCGAGGGGAGUGAAAAAGAACCUGAAACCGUGUACGUACAAGCAGUGGGAGCACAGGUUUACCUGUGUGACUGCGUACCUUUUGUAUAAUGGGUCAGCGACUUAUAUUCUGUAGCAAGGUUAACCGAAUAGGGGAGCCGGAGGGAAACCGAGUCUUAACCGGGCGUUAAGUUGCAGGGUAUAGACCCGAAACCCGGUGAUCUAGCCAUGGGCAGGUUGAAGGUUGGGUAACACUAACUGGAGGACCGAACCGACUAAUGUUGAAAAAUUAGCGGAUGACCUGUGGCUGGGGGUGAAAGGCCAAUCAAACCGGGAGAUAGCUGGUUCUCCCCGAAAGCUAUUUAGGUAGCGCCUCGUGAAUUCAUCUCCGGGGGUAGAGCACUGUUUCGGCUAGGGGGCCAUCCCGGCUUACCAACCCGAUGCAAACUGCGAAUACCGGAGAAUGUUAUCACGGGAGACACACGGCGGGUGCUAACGUCCGUCGUGAAGAGGGAAACAACCCAGACCGCCAGCUAAGGUCCCAAAGUCAUGGUUAAGUGGGAAACGAUGUGGGAAGGCCCAGACAGCCAGGAUGUUGGCUUAGAAGCAGCCAUCAUUUAAAGAAAGCGUAAUAGCUCACUGGUCGAGUCGGCCUGCGCGGAAGAUGUAACGGGGCUAAACCAUGCACCGAAGCUGCGGCAGCGAACGUAUCACUUAAAGCGAUUCAGCGGGUUACGAUUGACGGAGCGAAGCGACGUCAAAGCGUAUACAAAGUCGAGUCGGUUUAAGGAUACGUUCGUUGGGUAGGGGAGCGUUCUGUAAGCCUGUGAAGGUGGCCUGUGAGGGUUGCUGGAGGUAUCAGAAGUGCGAAUGCUGACAUAAGUAACGAUAAAGCGGGUGAAAAGCCCGCUCGCCGGAAGACCAAGGGUUCCUGUCCAACGUUAAUCGGGGCAGGGUGAGUCGACCCCUAAGGCGAGGCCGAAAGGCGUAGUCGAUGGGAAACGGGUUAAUAUUCCCGUACUUGGUGUUACUGCGAAGGGGGGACGGAGAAGGCUAUGUUGGCCGGGCGACGGUUGUCCCGGUUUAAGCGUGUAGGUGUGUGUUCCAGGUAAAUCCGGUUCACUUUAACACUGAGGCGUGAUGACGAGGCACUACGGUGCUGAAGCAACAAAUGCCCUGCUUCCAGGAAAAGCCUCUAAGCAUCAGGUAACAUCAAAUCGUACCCCAAACCGACACAGGUGGUCAGGUAGAGAAUACCAAGGCGCUUGAGAGAACUCGGGUGAAGGAACUAGGCAAAAUGGUGCCGUAACUUCGGGAGAAGGCACGCUGACACGUAGGUGAAGUGAUUUACUCAUGGAGCUGAAGUCAGUCGAAGAUACCAGCUGGCUGCAACUGUUUAUUAAAAACACAGCACUGUGCAAACACGAAAGUGGACGUAUACGGUGUGACGCCUGCCCGGUGCCGGAAGGUUAAUUGAUGGGGUCAGCGCAAGCGAAGCUCCUGAUCGAAGCCCCGGUAAACGGCGGCCGUAACUAUAACGGUCCUAAGGUAGCGAAAUUCCUUGUCGGGUAAGUUCCGACCUGCACGAAUGGCGUAAUGAUGGCCAGGCUGUCUCCACCCGAGACUCAGUGAAAUUGAACUCGCUGUGAAGAUGCAGUGUACCCGCGGCAAGACGGAAAGACCCCGUGAACCUUUACUAUAGCUUGACACUGAACAUUGAGCCUUGAUGUGUAGGAUAGGUGGGAGGCUUUGAAGCGUGGACGCCAGUCUGCGUGGAGCCAACCUUGAAAUACCACCCUUUAAUGUUUGAUGUUCUAACGUGGACCCGUAAUCCGGGUUGCGGACAGUGUCUGGUGGGUAGUUUGACUGGGGCGGUCUCCUCCUAAAGAGUAACGGAGGAGCACGAAGGUUGGCUAAUCCUGGUCGGACAUCAGGAGGUUAGUGCAAUGGCAUAAGCCAGCUUGACUGCGAGCGUGACGGCGCGAGCAGGUGCGAAAGCAGGUCAUAGUGAUCCGGUGGUUCUGAAUGGAAGGGCCAUCGCUCAACGGAUAAAAGGUACUCCGGGGAUAACAGGCUGAUACCGCCCAAGAGUUCAUAUCGACGGCGGUGUUUGGCACCUCGAUGUCGGCUCAUCACAUCCUGGGGCUGAAGUAGGUCCCAAGGGUAUGGCUGUUCGCCAUUUAAAGUGGUACGCGAGCUGGGUUUAGAACGUCGUGAGACAGUUCGGUCCCUAUCUGCCGUGGGCGCUGGAGAACUGAGGGGGGCUGCUCCUAGUACGAGAGGACCGGAGUGGACGCAUCACUGGUGUUCGGGUUGUCAUGCCAAUGGCACUGCCCGGUAGCUAAAUGCGGAAGAGAUAAGUGCUGAAAGCAUCUAAGCACGAAACUUGCCCCGAGAUGAGUUCUCCCUGAGACUUUAGGUCUCCUGAAGGAACGUUGAAGACGACGACGUUGAUAGGCCGGGUGUGUAAGCGCAGCGAUGCGUUGAGCUAACCGGUACUAAUGAACCGUGAGGCUUAACCUUACAACGCCGAAG